rnacentral:rRNA from 1 species
UACAGAGGGGGCAAGCGUUGUUCGGAAUUACUGAGCGUAAAGGGCGCGUAGGCGGCCUUCUAAGUCGAACGUGAAAUCCCCGGGCUCAACCCGGGAACUGCGUCCGAUACUGGGAGGCUUGAAUCCGGGAGAGGGAUGCGGAAUUCCAGGUGUAGCGGUGAAAUGCGUAGAUAUCUGGAGGAACACCGGUGGCGAAGGCGGCAUCCUGGACCGGCAUU